rnacentral:rRNA from 1 species
UACGUAGGGUGCGAGCGUUAAUCGGAAUUACUGGGCGUAAAGCGUGCGCAGGCGGCUUUGCAAGACAGAGGUGAAAUCCCCGGGCUCAACCUGGGAACUGCCUUUGUGACUGCAAGGCUAGAGUACGGCAGAGGGGGGAUGGAAUUCCGCGUGUAGCAGUGAAAUGCGUAGAUAUGCGGAGGAACACCGAUGGCGAAGGCAGCCCCCUGGGAUAACACUGACGCUCAUGCACGAAAGCGUGGGGAGGCAAACAGGAUUA